UCCUCCAACCAGCUUUUGUAGCUUGAAAAAGCUCCAUGCCAACGAAAAGGAUUAGUUUUGCCUUUUCUUCAUCUAUCCUCCAUUGAAUCUUGCCGUCCAAAAUGGCGGCCAAUUAUCACCGUAGGUGGAUACCGUAAUAAACAGUAAUGAUAUUCAUAGGCCACCGUCAAUCUCACCUGAAGAGGUCUAUUCACAUGUAAAAAUGUCGGCUCUGGAUGGUGUUGCUUCUUCAAGGAAAAACGCAGGAAGAAAGGGGUUUUGGUACCAAAUGGACUUCCAUUUUACCCUCAAAGAAGACAAGGACCAGUUCUAGUUAGGCUUGAUCGAGUUAAGGGGUCUUUAGGCACUAAAAGAAGGCGCUGGAACUGCUGUCUCAUUUACUCGCCGAUUUAGUUUAAAAAGAGAAUCAUUCUGAGGCUCUAUCACAUGAUACUAGUAGUUCUUCUGCUAUGCUCAAUACUUCAGGUAUGGGUGAUGGGGACGAAGAGCAGCCAUUUUGUGCAUAGAUAUAGGAUCGGCUAUUGGGAAACAUACAUUAUAGUGUUAGUGUGGUAUGGUUGACCGAAGGAUGAUCAGUUACAGACAGAUCGUCAUGUGAUCUGUGCUGAAUUUCGAUUCAAUCCCAGUUGUGAGUCCUGUAAUCGUAACUCAAGUUUAUUAGGCACUAGAUACAGAAGCUCGUACUAGCAUUUUUCUUGUACUGGUAUAUUACCAUCAUAGUACUGCCAUAUUUUUGUCGGCAUCACUGGGCACAGUUGGGAAGAGGUACACAGAUACAGGAGGCUCCUCACCAUCCCAAUAUCUAUUCAACCCUAUAAUGUUUAUUUUUUUU